AUUGUCAAAUAUGUUACAUGAAAUAGUUGUGUGAAUAUCAUGCUUUUCUUUGUCAUGUCUCAGGAAGAACACUCUGCACAACACCAAUGUACUGUCUGCUGUUCCGUCAGCUGAGGUUAAGCUACACAGAUGGAAAGUGAAGCAUGGCAGAGUUUAAGUUGAAGAUGUAACAUCGGUAUUGGACUGAUUGAGGGGCAUAAGUCGUCGGACACCCCAGACAGAGCAAAGGAACGGGACAAAAGGUGGCGUCGCCAGAGACAGGUUUAAUUAGAAAUACUCUCAGACGCUCUGCUGAAAAGAAGAGUAUCCGGAUGCGUUUUUAAUAACCUCCCACCCUGGCACUCCCCAGAGUUUUAGGACCUGAUUGCGUCAGCAGCAGGGAAAAGGGCCAAGCUUAUGGGGAGAAAAAGCGCA